rnacentral:SRP_RNA from 1 species
GCCGAGCCUUGUAACGUGGGCUUGUAACCUAAGUUGGGGCAACAAUGUAGUGGGAUGUUAGGCUGUUCCAGAUGGCUGGACUUUGGUUGGCAUUAGUCUGGCUUGCCCUAUCCAAGCACGGAGUUGAGUCACGUGGUCCAAACGAAAGUAUGGGCUGCUUGGCUCUUAGAGUGGGGUGGACUGCGUGAGGCUGGUUUCACAGAGCAACGAAUAACUCCCAGUCUGUGCAGUGGAAGGAUAACGAGUCAGUGCUUUCCAAGUUCAACAAAAACCUGAUGGACUACCUAAUUAAACCACCACUUUU